rnacentral:rRNA from 1 species
CUACGGCCAUACUACCCUGAACGCGCCCGAUCUCGUCUGAUCUGGGAAGGUAAGCAGGGUCGGGCCCGGUUAGUACUUGGAUAUGAGGAAAGUAUGGUUUCUAAUGCAAAAUAUUCAUGUAUUCAGGCAGGGGUGG